AGCGAACGCUGGCGGCAGGCCUAACACAUGCAAGUCGAACGAACCUUUGGGGGUUAGUGGCGGACGGGUGAGUAACACGUGGGAACGUGCCUUUAGGUUCGGAAUAACUCAGGGAAACUUGUGCUAAUACCGAAUGUGCCCUUCGGGGGAAAGAUUAAUCGCCUUUAGAGCGGCCCGCGUCUGAUUAGCUAGUUGGUUGAGGUAAUGGCUCACCAAGGCGACGAUCAGUAGCUGGUCUGAGAGGAUGAUCAGCCACAUUGGGACUGAGACACGGCCCAAACUCCUACGGGAGGCAGCAGUGGGGAAUCUUGCGCAAUGGGCGAAAGCCUGACGCAGCCAUGCCGCGUGAAUGAUGAAGGUCUUAGGAUUGUAAAAUUCUUUCACCGGGGACGAUAAUGACGGUACCCGGAGAAGAAGCCCCGGCUAACUUCGUG
rnacentral:rRNA from 1 species